rnacentral:lncRNA from 1 species
UAUGGGCAGAGAACAGAUUACAGCCGGUACCUAAUAUACUCUUACAGGGUGACUUGUGAUGAGUAGAAGAAGCCUUCCUCACGUCUCUACUUCCUGUAUGUGUCUUUGGCUCUUCAUGCACUAUGUGUAUUGUAUUAUUACAGCUGCAUGUGU